UACGGAGGGGGCUAGCGUUGUUCGGAAUUACUGGGCGUAAAGGGCGCGUAGGCGGCUUGGCAAGUGGAUGGUGAAAUCCCUCGGCUUAACCGAGGAACUGCCGUCCAAACUGCUUCGCUUGAGACCGGGAGAGGUGAGUGGAAUUCCCAGUGUAGCGGUGAAAUGCGUAGAUAUUGGGAGGAACACCAGUGGCGAAGGCGGCUCACUGGACCGGUACUGACGCUGAUGCGCGAAAGCGUGGGGAGCAAACGGG
rnacentral:rRNA from 1 species